GGACAAGAAGCGAGUCCCGCUGGCGACCACCACUGCACUGGCUGCCGCGGCGCCCGACGUGUCUGGUGAGUCUCCACGUACUCCUGCCAUCAACGUACGGUUGUUCAGCAGACUGCAAGUUUGGUGAGGUUAUUUUCACAGAAAAGUUCCUUACUUGUCGCGACACCUGAGACCUUCCGCCAUGUUCUGCAGAAGCUUUAGUUGGUUCGUCCGCAUUUUUGUGGCGGUAGUCAUAUCUACUGGCUGCAGCCACCCAAUUUCUGUUACAGAAUUCUAUACAGAAGUCACCGCACAUAGUUUAACAACCACCAAAGGUAAGUGUUUCAUCCAUUGCUGC